rnacentral:rRNA from 1 species
CCUAUGGGUGGCUGCAGUGGGGAAUAUUGGACAAUGGGCGAAAGCCUGAUCCAGCCAUGCCGCGUGUGUGAAGAAGGCCUUCGGGUUGUAAAGCACUUUCAGUGGGGAAGAAAGCCUUGGGGCUAAUACCCUCGAGGAAGGACAUCACCCACAGAAGAAGCACCGGCUAACUCCGUGCCAGCAGCCGCGGUAAUACGGAGGGUGCGAGCGUUAAUCGGAAUUACUGGGCGUAAAGCGCGCGUAGGCGGUCUGAUAAGCCGGUUGUGAAAGCCCCGGGCUCAACCUGGGAACGGCAUCCGGAACUGUCAGGCUAGAGUGCAGGAGAGGAAGGUAGAAUUCCCGGUGUAGCGGUGAAAUGCGUAGAGAUCGGGAGGAAUACCAGUGGCGAAGGCGGCCUUCUGGACUGACACUGACGCUGAGGUGCGAAAGCGUGGGUAGCAAACAGGAUUAGAUACCCCGGUAGUC